AAGAGGUUAGUUUAUAAAAACACCAGCCUGUCAGACUGAAAUUAUAGAGAAAUUCUAUACCUUUUA
rnacentral:tRNA from 1 species